CCGGACCCCGAGGCGGCGGACGUCGUCUUCGUGGUCCACAAGGUCUACCGGAAGCCGGUGCUCCCCCCGCCUGUCGACAGCAGCUCCAGCGACAGCGAGGAGGAGGGCUCCGAGCGCUCCAUCGUGUUGAAGAGGAGGCGGUAGAAUUAUGCAACUGCAUGUUGAUUUCUUCAGAUUUGUUGUGUCUCUAUUUCGUUUCAUUUCAGUUGUGGAUUUUGCGCUCGAUCUAGUUCAGGUAGAUUGACUGGUCCGUUUCGUUCGAAGUACAAUGUAAUCAGCCUCCCUCGCAGCAUCUGCCAGAACAGUUCGGAGGUAUUAUCACCGUUUCAUUUUAUGAUUUAUGUUUUAUGUGGACGUGAGUCUUGGUCUGAUGUCUUCCCAUCUGAAUAAUUUUAGAUUUUAUGAUCUAUCUUUAUAGUCCGCUUUGUUUCGAAUAAUUGGAACUGGAGUAGUAUUUAGGAGUAAUGGUUACUACUCCAGUUUCAGUUUCAAAAUGGUUGGAGAGAGAGAUACCAGUUUGAAUACCACUCCAGUUUCAGUUUUAGUAUUUAGGAGUAAUGGUUUCCAGUUUCAGUCACAGCAAACAAGCUAAAGAUGUCUUCACAUCUGAAUAAUUGGAAGCUAAGCUUUGGAUGACUUUGCUGGAGAUAAGCACCAUAUUAGUAUAAGAUGUAAUGUUCAUGCAUCUGUGACUUACCUAACAGAUUUUAAACCAACAAAUAAUAGUACUAUAUCCAGUCGUCCGGUUACGCAGGACUGUUGCUGAAGCGACUUCUAAUGAAGCUUGGAUCAAAGAUAUCAAUAGUGAGAGCAACAUUCACACUUUCUUGCAGGUGGUUACCUUCUGGAAAUUAUUUCUUAAACCCCGACGAUCCAUGGCGCUGAAGAUAAGUGGACCUGGAGUUGGGUUUCACAAGGAGUUUUUUCGGCAAUGUUAGUAUAUGGUGCUUGUUUCACUGCGGCAAUCAAUUGGAG
rnacentral:lncRNA from 1 species